UAUAUAUAUAUAACCACUUCCAUCCAGUUUUACACCUGUUGCCGUUUUGGAGCCCCUGCAGUGCACUUUACAACAUCUUCGCUUUUUGUGCUUAUUUGCUCCACAGAACGCCGGAACACAAAGUAGUGCCAUUAGUCGUAAAAGUGCUCAGUCCCAUGCCAAGUCCCCCGAUUUACUGUGUGAAGGAAACGUUUACUAGAAAAUACUCCUCUGGUUCAGUCAUCCGGCUCCUCGGCUCAGGACAGAGUGAGUGGAUUUGUGUGCGUGUAGAAUUGUCGUGUCACUCGCUGUACUUUGGCACGCGAGGACUCGGUGAGGGAGGCUGAUCACUCUAUUCAGAUGCAUCGCAUUGAAGAGGAGAAACAAAUAAAGUGGAUUUCAUUGAGGCAGUUUGCAUUCAAGACAUGAAGACAAACAAAGUUUAACCUUUCUAAUCUUUAGCUGCGUUUGCUUUGGAUCUUUUAUAACAUCAUCUUUCCUCCGUCUGUGCUCUCCUUCCAACGAUGUAUCACUUCAUUAGUCCGCUUUAUAAUAUAAAGGUGGUACUUUGUCACUUUAUUAUUCCGUCAUUGGGGUUUGAUUGGUUUUCUUACCGUGAACAAUACAGGUUCCUUAUAACGCUGAAACGCUGAUAUCCAUUCUGGUUAAAGCGCUCGUUUUUCUAAAGCCUCUUUGCUUGGAGCUGAAGAAUGGCUGCCGAUGAUGACGGCAAUUAAUGGCGUCUAAGAGGAGCCGUAAGCAAUGAUGCAGUGACUUAAUGUGCUUUCUUUUGCAGGAGCUACAGUGAGUGUGUCAGUCUGCAUGUGUGCCACAAUGGGCCAUUGUUCAGGGGGGGAAUGAAGGAUGACUUCUGCUGAGGCAACUUAUGUUCCCAUGCAGCACCUGAAUAUACAGCACGAACUUGAAGACGCACAGUCCAGUUAUGAACACGUUUGCACCCAGAAUGACACACACACACACACACACACACACACACACACACACACACACACACAGCGUGUGCACACGGACAGACAGAUACAACAGACAUGAUUUCAGGAUGAAAACUGGAUGUUGAGCAGCGUGUUUUCUUUGUUCAUUGAUGUGAAUCGUCUCAUUUUAAAACCAUCAAAAGAAAAAAGGUGUGUUCACAUCACAGACUCACUGGAUAUGAUGACUUAAAAUGUGCCUGAUAUCUAUAGCAAAAAUCCAGAAAAUCACUUUUUUUUUUGGAAAAGUAUUUUGCAGUUUAUUGCAUGACAUAAGUAUGUUGUAGUAUACGCAUAUUUACACAAUGCAUGAGUUCAGACUCAUAAAAAGCACAACCACUCUAAAAUAAGGCUCUGCAAGAGCUCUAGCACCGCGCGUGCUGCAUACACAUGAAUGCAGAGCGCUCAGAAAGAAGCCGACCACCUAUUGAUUUAUGGCUAUUUUGCAUAAGCAGCUUCUGCAACAAAGAGGCAAACACAGGGAUGACCCCCCCCCCCGGUGGCAUUAGAAGAAGGGUUCACGAGCUUGUGUGGCGCGAUGGAGACGCUCACAUGUGUGUGGAACCCCAACGCAACGUGUGGCGCCACCGCCAUUUUUGUCAAAUUCCAAUAUCAAGGAAAAUAUAUAGAUUUCUACAAAUGUAAAAUGAAAGGAAACUUUCAUUAAUUUGGAAAAGCGGUGUUGUGGCUGAUAAGGGGCGGGGGGGAGGGAGGUGGGGGGUUCCAUGUUCCAGGAGAGGGACCUCCUGAACUCCAAGUUCAGUGAAGAGGGUUUAUACUGACUGUACACAUUGUUUGUUUGAGAAUCUCACACACACACAACUUCUAUUUAUUUAAAUCAGCCACAUUUCACAACGAUGACCUGAGUGGAGCGAACUCAACGAGGUCCGUUAUAAACACGCCGUCUGGUGUCCAGGAAGUGGAGGAGAGUUUGUACACCGAGUGUCAGACGUGGCUGAUAAACAGAAGAAAGCCAUACUGUCCUUCGGUAAACAAAGGCUGCUAAACAAAUAGCAGAGUGCGUUAUUGUUACUCACAUUCGUGCUUCACACAUACACACGCAGUUUGAAAAGGCAGGAGCAGUAUUUAUUAGCAUGCCAAAUUAAAAGAUGGCACAAAGGAACAUAAAUGACUCUGCGCUCCAAUAGCUUAAUUGCUAAUCUCUUCUUUUAGGACGGUGUUUAUUUCAUUAGUCUCGUUUUAGCGCCGUCGCCAUCUCUCCCUGCUAAUUAACUUGUUUGGAUUGAACGUCUACCCCUCCGUGCCAGACAGCACGAACACCGCUGCAGGGAAAGUAAAGUGUAACAUUACUUCUUUUUCUCCAUGGACGUUCCUAUCCAGAACUUAUCUCCAUGUCUCUCAUCUCUCUGGACUACGCCAUCCGGUUCCCCGGAUCCGAUGAGACGCCAGAAGAAAGCCAGAAGAAAGCCAGUAGAAGGCCAGAAUGCGGUCAGUAGAAGGCCAAGAGAAGACAGGCCAGAAGAAGGCCAGUAGAAGGCCAGAAUGCGGUCAGUAGAAGGCCAGUAGAAGGCCAGGAGAAGGCGAGUAGAAGGUCGAUAGAAGGCCAGUAGAAGGCCAGUCGAAGGCCAGUAGAAGGCCAGUAGGUUGCCAGUCGAAGGCCAGUAGAAGGCCAGGAGGUGGCCAGUAGAAGGCCAGGAGAAGGCCAGUAGAAGGCCAGGAGGUGGCCAGCAGAAGGCCAGGAGGUGGCCAGCAGAAGGCCAGGAGGUGGCCAGUAGAAGGCCUUUCACUGGUACCCAAUUGCUCCAGUAUUUGCGAGAUGAAAGUCUGUGCUGAGAGAAGCAACAGGUGAACGGGUUUGAAGUGGAGAGAGAAGAACAGGGAGUGACAUGAAGACGUGGGACGUUCAAGGUGAUUUCUGGUCUGAACGUGGUGUAUGUAUGAAACAUGAUUUCUUCAUCUGGAUUCUCUGAGGGGGGGACGGGGGGAAGAGGGGUCACGUCGGCAGACUCAGGGGGCGAAGCCUGUUCGCUGCUUUGUGC
ensembl:lncRNA